rnacentral:lncRNA from 1 species
ACUUUUUUUUUUUUUUUUUUUUGCUCUAAGUCCUACUUGCUGCACCUUUUCUUCCAUGUGUUCAAAUAACUGAAAUUUAAGAGCCUAAUUGGCUUGUUAUUUUCUGAAGUUUUAAUAAAAAAAUAUAUUGUAAAGAUUCAAUAUAUAUAAGAUAAAAAUGUGAUUAAAAAAUAUUUAUAUAAAAUAUAGCUCUAUUUGAAUUCCUCAAUUUUUAAAAAACAAGUUUUUAUAUACAAUAUUAUAGUAAUACACAAACGAAAACAAUUUCAAAAAUGCCACAUUCAAAAAAAAUUUACAAGAUAAAAAUGUGAUUAAAAAAUAUUUAUAUAAAAUCUAGCUCUAUUUGAAUUCCUCAAUUUUUAAAAAACAAGUUUUUUAUAUACAAUAUUAUAGUAAUACACAAACGAAAACAAUUUCAAAAAUGCCACAUUCAAAAAAAAUUUACAGUAAAAUUUUUUUAUAUACACAACUACAGCAAAAUUUUUGAAAAACACACUAAAAAACAACUAAUUCAAAUAGAGUCAAAAUUUUUUGGAGAGAAACUGCAAUUCAUUUUUAAGGAAAAUAAAGCCUCUAUUUGGAUAGGAGAUUAUUUGAAAUAAUAAUUGUAACAAUUUUUGUAUAUGUGAGAUAAGAAGGUGUGUUGAAAAUUAUGUUUGUGAUGCAAGCAAAUAAUUUUUUGACUAUCCACAUCCUAAUCAAAAUUUAAAUUAAAUCUGAAUAAAAAUUUAGAUUAAACAAAACGUGACAAUCUGGAAGCACUUUAUGCUGGGGAUAAUGUACAAAAGCUCAAAAAUUGUUUUAAUCAAUGAUUAAAUUGAAAAGAUGAAUAUAUUUUUAAUUUGGCCCAGAUGGUGUCUAAUAAUUGAUUUUUUUUUUGUUUUUUAUCAAGGCGAUAGGAUUUUCAUUAACUAUCACAUCAAAGUAUGCAAAGUGAGUAAAGGAUCGAUAUCACUUUACAACUCAUGCAUUUCGCAUGAGUAGUUGGGAUAUACCCAUUCCUUGUCAUAAUGAUUGCCCGAUGCUUGAGCUGCUACAUCAAAACGAGGAUCACUCUUUUCCUAUUCCUAGUUGCCAAAAGCAGUACAUACAAAACAAUUUACUUAUAGCCUGCCCGAGUAUCCUCAAUGAUUGUACCAAUCCAGUUGUUUCAUGUAGCAAUUGCAGCAACUCCAUGUUUGCUAUUUCGAUUUCUAUGGCUGACUUUUGGCAAAAGAUGGCUGUCUACAGAUUAGAUUGCUGAUAUAAAAAAAAAAAAAAAAAAUUUUUUACCGAAAAGAAUGAGGAGUACGGCAAGCAAAAUGCUUUCAAAUUUUACCAAAAAGAUCUUUAUGACUCGAUCAGAGGACGGUAGACUCAUUUAAAUAAUGAACAGAUUUUGUGAACUUCUAGUCUUGGCAUAGUCUUUGGUUAGGAUACUGGUUUAUGGAUGAAAUACCCAUAAAUGCAAGUCCUCAAUUUCGGCCCUAAUAUCUGGCACGGGAACUCAAUUUCCCCAACCCCGCCGCCCCGCCCCCUCUCCCCCACCCAAAAACAAGAAAAAGGAUUAAAAUUCUUAAAGACAAAAAAGAAAACGAUUUCCAUCUUCGCUAAAUUCGCUUAUGUAAGUGGAGUAGAAUUCUCAUCAUUUAAUAAGCAACCCCAACAAACACCACUCCCCGGCCCCAAAAAAAUAAAAUAAACAAAAGAUUAAUUUGACAGAUUCUUGUCUUAGGAGUGUUUGGCUUGCCGGUAAAAUUGAAAUUUGGGAUGCUGACAAAUUUUGGAGUAUCUCUUCAGUAUUGUCCUACUGGUAAUCGUGUGAUGGGACUGCCCGAGGACGAUACAGUAUGUAUUCUAGCAAAGACGACAACCAGUUAAAAACCAAAGAAAUGAGUCUGAAUUCUGCGGCGGCUAAGCUUUUCCAAUUCCUGAAGCAGCCUAAAACGGGUCUUCAGUCAACAGAUGGCCGAGGGGCAAAAUAUUUAGCAUGUUCGGAUUCUUGGCAUUACUACAUCAUGCGAGCUGGUAAAAUUUAGAACUUUGCGUCUUCUUCUUGGUUUGUUUUUGGAUGAGAACUCCAAAUAUGAUGGAUGGUUCAGCUUUCUCUUCUGCUUCUCCAAGGUUCUAACUACCUAAUAUGUUACAUUAUUGUGACCAUAAAAUUCUAUUGGCUAUUACUAACGAACGCUUGAAAUAGAUCGACAGUAGUACAUUCAUUCUAGAUUAUAUCAUAUAAACUUAUUAACCUAAGAUGGAAUUGCGAAUGUUUCUUACUCAAAAUCACCAAGUUGUGUAGAGCAAGAAUGCAUUUCCGCCAAUGUAGUUGGAUAUUAGGGCCCUUCCAGCAGAGGUUGGUUGAGAAAAUGCCAAAUCGGUACGAUUCAGAUUUCGGCCGCUGCAGAAGCUGCCCCUGCAUUUGUGGAAAAAUAAACAAAUAAAUAAACAUCGACGUGGCAUCGGAGAAGACCGUCGAUUCCUUUUCUUUAGGGAGAGAAUAACUGAUCCGACGAGAGGGAUAGUGACAGUAGUACAUCCCCUUGCGUCAACUCCGGCAGGCCAAAUUCCAGUUUCAUUCUUUUAAAUCAGAUCACUAGUUUCAAUUUUGUCCAUCAUGUCGCGUUUUCUUAUUCCCUACCAACUCAAAAUUCCCAGUUUUUCUUAUUCCCUGCCAACUUCGCCCCCAUAUUUCAUCCCACACUUCUGUAUCAUUACUGCUGAUGAUAAAUUAUGGCAAAUACCAGCCUGCCAGGAGCCAGGGGUGUGAAAGUCAAAGCAUGAGAGAUUAAAAGGAAAAUGGUCUAAAUCUUAGGAGACUAAUUCAAAUUGCAAUUUUCCCAUCAGACAUUCAAAGUACUAUUCUUUGUUACUUACUAUCUUGAGGAAUGGAUCCCAUAAAUAAAUUGGUAUACAAAGACAUAUUAACAGCCACGUAUCAAGUACAAGUAUCUACCGUUUUUCCGAAUUCCUACUCACAGUUUUAGAACAUUCUAAUUUCAUCCGAAGGUCAUUAACAAAAGUAUUCCACUUUUCUAUAGACAACGGCAUCGGCAAAUUUAGCUUCCUUUUCAAGGCAAUGUGCAACAAAAAAGCCACAAUCUUUUGAUAUAUAUUCACCGCAAAUUCUGUGCAUUGACCUACUGGAAGUUGACUUCGUAAUUGCACGUGUAAUUCGAUAGAGGUAUGUUAUUAACAUUACUUCCAAGGUCUCCAUAUUUUAUCCCUACAGACAAAUUUCCACUCUCCUCUGCCGACUCAAGUGAAAUGGAUCCAAGUCCAUUCAUCCAAUUUUUAGCAGCUUUCCAAUUUGAACCUAAACUGCCCAGAAGAAGGUCUUUUCAAUCCUUGCCUUGAACAACAUAUCAGGACACAAGUUGGCCAAGCUGGAGUCGUUGAAGUGGGCAGGUAAAAAUGAAGUACAAGUGAACCAAUUUAUGAUAUAGCAUUGCAAGGAUCACGCAAGCAUUGCAGAAGUAUGAAUGCUUUACCUAAACAUAGUAACAAUACUAAAUUCUCUAAACUUCUAGAUCAACUUGUUUCGACAACUGAGGCAAACAGGACACCGUUCUUGCACAGUCCAAAGACAAAUUGAGUUCCAUUCAAAGCAAAGUGCACACUGAUUUGUUCAAUUAAUAUGUUCAGCUAGAUGUUAGUCUAUUUAUUUGUUGCAUGGAAAUGUGGAAGAUAUAUAUAGGAAAUUUUCUUCACCUAGUCCUAUUCAGCUGAUUUUAUAUUCCAGACAACCAUUUCGAUUGAUUUAGUCAUCUUGUUUGCCGUGAGCAAUUGCCACAGACUCCCAAUAAAAGGACCAGAAUGAAGAGAAACUUUUUAUUGGCCAAACAUGCAAUCAUUGUCUUACCUCACAGCAUCCAGCAAGUAACUCGCGAUGUGCUUCCUUCUGUUGGAAGGAGUAACCCAAAUGGCCCUUACACCACAACUAGCAGGUACAGCUUCCUUCUCACAUAAGAUCUCUCCAGUGACUGAAUCACACAUUUCCUUGCCUUUGGCAGAGUUAUUCUUUCUCACUAUUUCUCUUUGGAAGCUCACUUCACCAAAUUGGAGAACCACUGAAUUCUCUCUCCCUCCUUUUCCAUUUUGAUCCUGAGACUUUUUUCCUGUUGAGCUUGAAACAAUCCGAUAGGCCUUCUCUAUUGGUUCUGCAACUAGACAGCCAGUAACUCUUCCAGAAGAUACAAACAGAUACACCUGUUGGCAGUAGGAAAUGCAGUUAGAAGCAAGACCAAAUAUGUAAAAGAAAUUGAACUCAAAAUGUGAUGCAAAGAUGUGGUUUACUAUUCCGUCUCUACAAAGUGAAUUAUACUGAGUAAUCUCUGAGCCAUAGUAAGUAGUAUCUGAGCAGAAAACCCAUGUAUAGAAUAUCUGUUGUUGGUCCACCAUGAGUUUGUAAAUACGCAUAUUUUCUAACGGAAAGAGUAAUCUGUAGAAAAUUGGAAAGCUAGAAGAGCAGAUAUGUAGACUACACUGUAAGUAAUCUGCAACUAAGUAACGAGUGUUCUGAACACCUUGCAGUGCUGAUGAAAUAUCCACCCAUCCCCAAGAUCCAUCUCCAUCAUCUUAACAACAUCCUGAACCUGCCACCCACAAAGUCAUCUCGUUAGUGCGAUUAAGUAACUAGCAACCGAGUAGUUUCUAUCAAAACCAACAGAAACUCAAAGUAUUGAUGCUAACCUUGCUUCUUUGAGCAGGAGGGUCAUCGCUUAACACUAUGAUAACACGCCCAGUGUCAAGCGAAGGAACGUAUAUAACUCUUUCAUUUCGCCACCCCUGAAAAUCAUAGUAAUGGAUGUCAGUAAAUACUAAUCCAAGCCAACUUGGAUAAACCUAAGUUGAGUUCUAAGUUGUAAAUCCAAAUUCACCUUAAACUGAAUGCCGUGAGUGUAAUUCUUGUGAAAUGUUUUGUGAACCUUUUCAUCCCCUUCAUCACCUUUGGCAUACUUAAAUCCACAAAUUGUACAAGCGUGCAGCAGAAAAUCAGACUGACCUAAUUCCAAAUAAAACUGUGCGUAUUUUCUCUUUUUAUGAAGAACUUUUCCAGACUUGGGCACCUCCAGUUUUGCUACCAUAUCCACCUCACCAAGUCUGUUUGUUGCUCCAGCUGAAUCGGCAUCACUCUCACUGCAGUUUGGACUCGAAAUUUAUCCAAAAACAUCAGUAUCUGUGCAUAGUAAACAACGACUAAAUAGAUACUUUUUUGCCUUUGCUCUUUAUCUGGGUUGGAAUCCUUUAUUCUAUUAUCACCAUUUUCAGCUACAUGGCUACAGUCAAAAGCACCCAAAAAAAAAACUCAAAAUUCAACGAUGUAAAUACUUAUCCACUUGAGAAAAAUAAGCUAGUUGUCUCUAACUAUUACAUUGUAAAAAUUCCUCAUACAUCAGUAUCACAAUCUUACAAACAAGAGUAAACCCCCAAAAAAAAAGAAAAGGAAAAUUGCAGUUAUCACCAGAAUAUUCCCGGAUUUUCGUAAAAGCAGCUACGAUGUCUACAACAUUAAGAUCAAUAGGGUAAAAUAUAUAUGGACAAGGAAAAGUAAAACCUCAAAACAUAGAAUCCGAUCAAACAUCGGGUAUAAUCGAAUAUUAUUAAUUCAGGGAGAUGGCCCAGUUGGGGUGUUCGGCCGAAGAUCAUAAAUUAAAUUAAAGCUCAAUAGCUCAACGAAAUUUAAAAAAAAAAAAAAAAAAGAAAGGACUAAAACAAUAAGAAUGCAAUACCUGCCUGGGUUUCUAGCUCUGCGCUUGUAAGUAACAGUUAUUUCUGGGUCUUCACAGAUCUCGGCUUCGUUGGCGAAUAUAAUAGCAGAAAUCGGAGAUGCGACUUUAAUUUUGGCCGUAGCUGGAGAGGGCUUGAAAAAUGAACUGAUCUUUGAUUGCAUUCUUUCAGUUUUUAAAUUUUUACUCUUCUUUUUUACUUCUACGCUCAGAUUUGUUUUGGAAACGACGGUUUCGAUGAGCCUUCUGCCCUUAACGACAGAAGCUCUGUUCCUCUGCUCUGGGGUUGGGGAUUCGCUUGAAUUUUUAUUUAUUUCUUUUUUUUUUUUGUAACGAAAAUUUCCCGCCAUUUCACAAGGAAAAGGGUUGCUUGAGGGGUUGAGCGUCCAGGGCCCAAUCUUUGAAUUCAUGGGCUGCUCUCAUGGCCCAAUCCAGUCUAAAUGUUUACUCCUAGCACUAAAACAUUUUCUUUUUAUUAACAUCUCUUAACAUUACUGCAUUUGUAAUGCAAUGUGCAGUGUUCCUUCAGCAAUGAUACUUGUGGUGAUUUGAGUCAGUACAAGUAUCGAGGGCAAUAGCGGAAUUUUCAGAUAAAGUUCUAGUUAAACUUCGUAAAUAUUUGGAAGUGAAAAAGAAAUUUGUCCCAGAUCUUCUUGAGCGAUACUAACUUUUAUCUUAAUAUUAAUAGGAGUGUUCGAAUAUCAGAAAAAAAAAACUGAAAAUUUGGUCGAUCCAAUCUAGAUUGGAUUUCGAAUUUUGGUAAAACGAAAUUCGGUAAAAUCAAAAUAUAUCCAAUUCUAGUGUUUGGUAAAACUGUUUGAAACCAAAUAUUAAAAACGCAUUAUUGAAUUACCAAUUACCAGUUGAAUUUUUUAAAUUUUUACAAUAUGUAUGUGUGUGUGUAUAUAUAUAUUAUUUAUAUCCAUACAUAUUACUAAAUACUAAUUAGUAGUAAAUAGCAACUAAUAAUUACUUAACUACUAACCGAUGACUAUAUAGCACUACUGACAAACUUAUUGAUUAGUUUUAACUAUUGACUAUGAGUAUUUGAUUAUUGAGUACUAACUACUAUGGCUCACUGCAUUACUGAAUGGUUGGAGUUUGGACAGUACAAAUGGCAAGAUACAAUUGGGUGUGUUUAGAUUAACAAGAUUUGAAAUAAAAUAAUUUACUCCAUAACUUCCAAUCAUCUUUUUACUUUACCAAUCACUUUUUUAUUUCACAUGUAUCACAUCACAAAUAGUACUACGGUAAUUAUCUCAAAUAAACCAUCCAAAUAAACUCCUAUCCAAAUCAUCCAAAUGUUCACUUGUUGUUCUUUGUUUACUUAAUGUGACGAUGAAUUGAUAACCGAUGUGCUCGUUUUUUUUUUAUUUGUUAGAAAAAAUAUGGAAUAUUAUUUUAGAGCAAUAAUUUUUUUAGAGAAAAUUUUAAAUAUUUUAACUUAUUAUUGACAUUUCGAAUUUCAGAUAUUACCGCAUUACCGAUUAUGUAGUGGAAAUCCAAUUACCAAUACACAAGAUAUUAAAUAACUCUAACCUAAUUAAGGUUCUAUUUGAUAAUUCAAUUCAGCACUUAAACUUAAUAGAUUGAAAUUUUAAUAUAUUCAGACCAUUUGAUAACCAAAAGUUGAAUAUUUGAAUUAAUUAAAUAGUACUGAUUUUUUUUUUUAUAAAACUUGCUCCCAAAAUUAAGGAAUAAACUAUUCACUUAUUACUGAAUGUGAUAUGCAUUCAAAUAUAUUAAAUUUUAUAUUUAACAAUUCAAUAACUCAAUGCAUUCAAAUUUUGAGUUUUGAAUUUUAUCAAACGCAUCCUAAGACUCUACUCACUAAUUCUACAAAUCCAGCAUACACCGAUGCACAACCAAAAUAAAUUUAAUUUAAACUAGUUAUGUUUAGAUUCAUUUUAAAACAUUGUAUACUUAUACAUCAUAAGUCAUAAUACUAUUAACGUUAAAAAAGGGGGAAAAAAGAAGAAAAAAGUAGCUAACAAAUUAAGUUAUUUUUUAAAUCUAAAAUUUCCUAAUUACAAAGUUUGUUUGGACAAAGAUAAUUUGGUUUGCAAAAUUUAUUCUCACAAAUCCCAAUCACCUUUUUAUCUUCUCAAUCACCUUUUUAUCUCACAUACAUCACAUCAUAAAAAGUGUUACAGUAAAUAUCUCAAAUAAAUCAUCCAAAUAAACUCUUAUCCAACCCAACCUUCCAAACUUGGUUUCUUAAUUACUUGUUUAGCGUCAUUCUUUAUCAGCAUAAGUAGAUAACGUCCCAAGUGAAUUCAGCCAAAAAGUUUCGUCGUCCUCUCACAUGUCCGGCAUGUGGGUUGAGAACAUUAUGCUGCACGCGCAUCGCGCGAUAACGUGCCAGCAGUUUCUUACGAGUUCUCAUUUUCUCCUCUGGCAGUAUCCCAUGUGCCUCCUGCUGCAUCGUCUGCCGCGUCCCUUCUUCCCAAUGCGUUCUCUCUCUCCUUCUUCUGGACAAUGUUAUCCAUUUACUUUAGGGUUAGAUAUACAGAACAACGAAUGCCUCUCCACCGCUUCUCCACUCCGCCACUUUCCUCACCAAAAUUAUACAACCAAGAUCUUCGGUAGCGGUGAGCCUCCUUGCUUUAUGUUGCUCUGUUGCUUGUCCGGCUGCUCUGAACCCUGGUACAAGAGCCUGUUGAGAUAUCCGAUGCUCAGCAGUCCAAAUCCUCUGUCAUCCGUUUGGUUCUCCUCCUCUUCCUUCGUUGUAAGUUUUCUUCUUCCUGUCCGCUGAGGUGCAAUCUUCAUUGUAAGUUUUCUCUAUAAGUUUUAGCCUAAAGUUGAUAUUUUCGUCCUUUGUUUUGCUUGGCCAGCCUAGGAUCUUUUUUUCCUUCUGAAGACCUUCUGUUUUGCUCUCGGGAGAGGUACGAUCUUGCUCUUGCUGAGUUGUGCGUUUAGCUUUCUUUCCUUCUACUUGCACUGUGUUUGUGAACCGUGUCCUUUCCUUGUGGUUUUGUGGUUCCAAUAUCUGGUAUACAAAGGUCUGCUAUUGGCCUGUGUUCUUGAAGAACUCUGUGGUAUCAGCCUCGAAAACAAAAAAAAAAAAAAAAUAUCGCUCUGUCCAUGUUCUCUGGGGAUAUGUAUGGGCUUGGGUUUGUCCAUGCGCAGUUGUGCAUUUGGAAGGUUUGGCUUUUGUUCUUAUCUGAUGCGUUUUGUCCCCCUUCUUCUCAUCUAAUGUUUUGUUCUCUGGAGUGUUGCGUGUAUGUACUGCUUAGGCUAGAUUUAUUCUGUUUUGGGACCCAUCCUUUGGUGUGUAGCUUGUGUUCUGAAAACAAUUAUGGUGCGUGCCUCAAAAAAUUAAAACUCUGCUGUACUUUCUUGCUCUUUUCUUCUGUAUUUUUUGGGCUAGAGUUGUUAUUUUGCCGUUUAUACCAACCACUACAGUUAGGGAUCUGCUUCUUGAGAGAAGUGUGGGAUUAUGUACUGCUUUUUGGUUUUCUAUGUCUAAAGAAUAUGUAUUAAUUACCCUUUGACCUUUGUAGUUAGGCCAACGCACCUAAUUGCCUUACCUCUUUUUUUUUUUUUAGAGACCGAAGUUUUAGAAUGUACUUGCUCUGCUUACCAUUCCUUUCCUGCCAAACCCCUUUUGUAGGUCCCUAAAUUUGGGAUGAACUGAACUUGAUUUAGUCGCAUCUUGCCUUCCAUUUAGCUGUCACAAGUGUAUCUCAACUCUCUACUCCUGACCAUUUUUAGUCAACGAUAGAAAUAGUGUAGCACAUUGCUAUUAUAUGCUAAAAGUUGCUUAGUGAUGUGAUUGCUUGCACAUGUGAAUCAGUGUUUUCAUUCUACUACUUCAAUAUUACUUGAAACAGCACCUUGUACUUGCUUGCAAAACUAAAGAUACUUUCAUAUUGCAGCUAAAGAUCUUGUUACUCGAUCCAUUAGAGUAAUGAUGGAUUCAGGAUGUGAAGAGGUAUGUCACUGGUCCUGCUGCAUUAGGAAUUUGCUCUUUUUUUUUUUCAUUUUUUGCCUUUGCUAAUGCAUUAUGGGCUUUCUACUCCUAUUUGCAGUGCAAGGGAAAUUGUAUUGUUGGAAACUAAAAGCAAAAGGGAAAUGUAGGGAAUAUUAUUGGGAGAUGACUUUAGUAGUGGAAAACCAUCAGCUUUAGUUUGGGGAUUCUCAGUAAAUUCUACCCCAGCAAAUACAAAGCUUAUAGUGCCAGGAAUGUAUUAAUCCCAUGAUCCACUUUUUGGCUUCUUAGGAGUUGAAGGGGGUGAUUUUUAGCUACAUGAUGCUUGUCAAUCAUCCCACUUAUCAAACCUCUAUUAUUUGAUUGAGGCUAGAAUAGUUGGGGCUCAUGGUAACCUUUUAUACUGCAAUCAAAGAAUCGUAACCAUACUCCACCCUCUCUUUGAUUAAUAUACCCUUCUUUCAUUAUUGCAUGUUUUCCCUCACAUUUGCACAAAUAUACAUAGACACACAUUACACCAGUAGUUCUGAUAGCAUUUUUGGCAACUACUAGGUUUGGAUGGUGUGAGGAGGUUGUCUUAUUUAUUCAAUUGUUGAGCUUAUCCCAAAUAUAUAUAUAUAUAUAUAGAUAGAUAGAUAGAUAGAUAGAUAGAUAGAUAGAUAGAUAGAGAACUGUCAUUGGUUUCCUGAUAUACUUUUCCUUUUUCUGUUUUUAAAUGGAUUAAUUGGUCAUCUAGACAUGGUUGUCAACACUAUUGCAGAUGCAAGCAUCUUUGACAGGUUCCUUUUCUUUGUUGACUUGGAGGUUUCUUUACUUUGUUGACUUGGUUUAGGACAAGUCGAGCAUUAGAUAUAUCUUGAACAGAUGUUAUGCACCUGUUUACAUUAGCAGUUGAUCUGAUAUCAAUGAAAAAAUCGGUUUGCAUUUUGGUUGUUGAUUUUGGCAGAAAAUUACCAUUAGCAUUUUGGGUGAAAAGAGAAAGAGAGGAUAUUUUUUUAGGCUAGAAAUUUUUUAGAAUACCGGAUAGUGUAACACAAUCACUUUGUAGUUUUAAGUGGAAAUAGCAAAUCCAUUUUGGAUGAGUUUAUAUAGAUAUAAACAAUUAUAGUUUUAUUUAAACUUAAAGUAGUUACUAAAAAGUCUUUCAGACCCCUUGUUGAAACGAAAUUUCUGUUAUUUGCUUAUAUUGUGUUCUUUCUUUUGUAUUUUGUUUUGUUUUGUUUUGUUUUCCAUUGUGUUUGUUUAUAAGCACUUGUUCUUGGUGUUUUCAAGAUUAAGUUCUUGAUGUGGUUGCCAAAUUUAUAGUUGCCCAUCUUUCUCAACAACAACAACCUAAUUUCCCUGAUCUUGCAUUGCCUUUGCCAGAGUAGAUGCAAGCAAAGGGUGAUGACAAGAUGAAAAUUGGAAUAUGAGAGAGAAGGCACUCAAUUUAUGUCGAGAUGUAACAGAGUAAGAAUUGUUCUCCAUCUAGAAAAAAUCCAAGGAGAAAAAGAGUACUUGCUCCAUAUAUUCUUGACUGGUUCUUUUUGUCUGCAUGUCUUAAAUUCGUUUCCUUCUUUUAAACUGUCCAUCUGGCUAAUGUGCCAUUUUAUCCUCAAUUGUCAGUCGUCCAUUAGUUAUUAAAAAAUAUAUAAUUGAUAUUUUUUCCCUUUCCAUAUAUUCAGAUGAGAGAAGCUGUAAGGGAUGCUGCUCUAACAUUGCCCUACUGGAAUAAUUACAACAAGAUGCAGAAUACAGAUCUGAGGUAUAUCCUCCUGAAUUCUUAAAAUGCCCAGCUCUAUUUUAAGGUUUAUGCACAAGUAUAAGUGAAGUCUAUUUGGAUGAUUUAUUGAAUAUUAAUGUUUGGGCUUUUUUUUUGCUGGGAUUCAGGCUUGGGAGUAGGUUUCAUUAGAACGAACUUGUUGGAUUUAGUCAUUGCUUUAUGAAGGCAAAAGAAGUGGUGCGCAAAUGCUAAAGAAGUUUUUUUCCAAAUGACAAACUUCUACCUGUUGACUAGCUAUAUACUUUUGCUUUUGUCUCUCUUUAAUUCGAGGUUGUUUACUCUACCUCUUAGAUGGGUUGAGGCUAUGAAAUGGUCAGGACAGGAUAAUUACUUAGCAGCUCCUACUGUUCCAUUUACAGUAGACGGUUUGGAGGCUGGAUUACAAAAAAAAGUAUGGACCAUUUGCUCUGUUUGGAUCUCCUAUUUUUGGAGUGUUUUUCAAAAACUAGUUUUUCAAAUACAAUAAAAGUUAUAACAAAGUACUCUAAAAGAUAAUCUAAAAAUUAAUUUAAAAUUUUUUAAAAUUUUACCAAAUAUCUCAAAAUAAAGUGCCAAUAAAAAAUAUUCCAAAAUAUUUUUUAAAAAUAUUUCAAAAUAUACUCUAAAAACUCUGCUACAGCAAAGUUUUUUAAAAACAUCCCCAAAAACAGCUAAUCCAAACGGAGCCAUUGAUUUUUCUCAGAGUACACAAUGCUGGCCACUUGGUUCCUAUGGAUCAGCCAAAAGCAGCAUUGGACAUGAUACAGAGGUGGCUACAAGGCAAACUCUGAAAGGUCCAGCACUCCAGUCUGAGCUCUCCAUUGAGACGCAUGUGAUGGAUUACUUGAAACACAAGCUGAAAUGCUUCAUCACAAUCUUUGUAUUGAUCUAUUAAUUCAACUGCAACGUAUUGAUUUGCGAAUGGAAGUCAAGCAGAUAUAAAAAUAGAUGUAAAUGGAUGUUAAUUGUGGAGCUGAUUUGGUUCAAAGAAUUGGCCGCAGUGUGUCUUAAAAUGCCAUGCCGCAUGGCAUUUCAGUUUUUAAAAAUCAUGACAGCUUGCAUUAUUGAUCCCCAAACUCAGACAAGGAACAACGCACAAGGGAGUUUUCUUAGGAGACCACACAAGGGAAUCCAGUGAAACAAAGCUCACACUGGUGGAGCACCUGGGAAAGUAUAUGGCAUUGAUGGUGAAGAGAUUUGCCCUGUCUCAUUCCUUCACAAAUGAUCACAAAGACAGUAGCUAGCCCCUGCAAAAGCCGUUAUUGGUUGUCAUGCUAUUGUACAUUGUAAUUCCAUUUUUUUGCCUUGUAUCUAUACCAAUGGCACUUUAUCUUUGUCAUUUUGGAGGGUAUGAGAGCAUAAUCCUCGUGUGUAAAUAGUCGACAAAAUUGGUACUCAUUCCAAAGCUGAUCGGUAUUUGUGCAUUCUUUGUUCACAGGAAGUUCCCAAGUAUGCAAUGUAGAAGACUCCGUGAAACAAGGACUCGUUGAUUUAUUCCCCAUCUUAGAAUUUCUUUUGCUAUUAUUAUCUUUAAGAGGAAAGGCAUAGAAAAUUUUACUCCUGCUAUUUUAGCUUCAGAAUUUAUCUUUAGACGGAUACUAAGAAAGUGCACCACAGCAUGGUGAUUACUGAUUUUUUAUUGUUAGAUGAAAUUUGUAUCCGUCCCUUCGUGAUUUCCUUGCUUUCGGUAUAUGUUUGAGUUCUCAUAUUUUUCCUGCUCUUGGUAUAUUUUAGUUCUCAUAUGAAUCACGAAGAUUUGGGAUAGGGUCUACUUUCUACACUAAUAGUCCAAAAUUUAUAUUAAUAUAAAUGUUUUCACUGUUUUGAGAGCAUGAAAAUCUAACUCUGGAUGAUGUUUAUAAGUUUAGGUAGCUGCAUCAUUGGAAAAUUGAUGGAUCUUAUAACUAAACCAUAAUGCAACCUAGCCUUGAGAUAGCAAACGUGAAUGGCAAUUUGGACAAAAUUCUCUAAUAUUCUAAUUUUUUGUUGAGAAUAGCACUUGCUAUUUUUUACAUGGUUACAUACUUAGGAGUCUUUGGCUUUUAUUGAUCAAGGAUGCAGCCAUCUUUAAUAGUUAACCUCCACUGGCUUAGGGGUGCCUUCGUUAUAUUAAAUUUUGCUCUAAUUUUGGUUUAUCUGUACCAUUAAUGGAUCCAUUUUGGAUCAAGUACAAAUCACUUUACUGGACUGGGCAUCUCCAUCUAUUUUUCCCACCGUGCGUAGCACGGUUUAUGCCUCCUAGUUCACUUAAACCCGGUGGUUUACGACUUACUACAAUAAUAAUAAUAAGAAAGAAGAAUAAUAAUAAUAAAAACUUGGGGGAGGUAAAUUGUACCGCAUGUACUAGUAUAACCGUCUUGAGAUUAAAGAGCAGUAGGGAGGACUACAAUAAAACUCUCACUCAGCGCCUGCGGAUCGUAGAUCUGACCACAGCGCCUAAUUCCGAAGGCCUUCCCCUCUUCCACCAAAACAUUUGUACUUUCAUCGAUUUAAUUCGAAGAUAGGUUUCAUCCGAUUUUCAGCAGUGGACGCCGCAUAUUCAAUCCGGUAAGUGCAUCACACUUCCCUUCUAAUUCGUUUCGAUCCACAAGAUCUGUGUUCCCCACAAUGCAAUUCGCCCAUAUGUUUUUUGAGGUCUCUGGUUGUGGCUGGACUGGGGGUUGUUAUCUAUCUGGAAUUGACCCCUAGGGUUACUGAAUUUUUGACCCAUGCUAUAUAUUAUGCCAAGCCUUUUGGACUUUCAAUUGAAGUCUUGAGUGGAAAUUUUAGAUUAUUGUUGCUUCUUUAGGUGUAUAUGAAUCGUUAUUGAUAUAGAAGUUUAGUUUUGAAUCUGUUGCUUCUGUUCAUCGACUAGUAUUUUGUUAUUUUUCUCGAUCUAGCUCCACAUCAUAGCAAUUUAUUCGUUUCGAGUUCAUUAGUUACUUGUUAUUAGAUGUAUACAUAAAUGUCUUCAGGCUUCUUAUUCCAAUCACAUUGAUCUACUUGAUAUGUUUAUUAUUGCUAGCACAAAUCAUGCUAAAUACUGACCAAGGAAUUAAAAAAGAAACCAUACUAACGAGUUCAGUUUGUAAUCGUUCUUUUGUCUUAUGAUUAGGUCACAUUGACCAGCUUAACACAACGCACUGGUCAAAUUGGUCCCGAUUCUUUCAUUCUGGACUCGCCUUGAUUGUCUGCAUAUCAUGAAUCUGUAACCUUGAAGGAUAUCUUGAAUUCUGGCUUGUUUUCAGGUAUAAUUUGAGCUAGCAAUGGAGAAAUCAUGUUCUUUGUUGGUACACUUUGAUAAGGGUACACCGGCCCUCGCGAAUGAGAUUAAGGAAGCCCUUGAAGGGAAUGAUGUUCCAGCAAAGGUUGAUGCCAUGAAAAAGGCUGUAAUGCUUUUAUUGAAUGGGGAGACCCUUCCCCAGCUAUUCAUUACUAUUAUCCGGUAUGUGUUGCCCUCAGAAGAUCACACUAUUCAGAAAUUGCUGCUUCUCUAUCUGGAGAUCAUUGACAAGACCGAUGCUAAGGGGCGACUUCUACCUGAGAUGAUCUUGAUCUGUCAGAACCUGAGGAACAAUCUUCAGCAUCCCAAUGAGUACAUUCGGGGGGUCACACUGAGAUUCCUAUGCCGCCUGAAUGAGGUGGAAAUCAUUGAGCCUUUGAUCCCUUCUGUUCUGUCAAAUUUGGAGCACCGACAUCCAUUUAUCAGAAGGAAUGCUAUUCUUGCUGUGAUGUCAAUUUACAAGCUCCCGCAAGGAGAGCAGCUCUUGGCAGAUGCUCCUGAGAUGAUUGAAAAGGUUCUCACAUCCGAACAGGACCAAUCGGCCAAGAGGAAUGCAUUUCUGAUGCUGUUCAAUUGUGCCCAGGAUCGUGCAAUUAAUUACCUUUUGACUCAUGUUGACAGGGUACCAGACUGGGGAGAGUUGCUUCAGAUGGUAGUCCUGGAGUUGGUCAGGAAAGUCUGUAGAACGAACAAGGCAGAGAAAGGGAAGUACAUUAAGAUUAUUAUCUCUCUGCUAAAUGCCCCUUCUGCUGCUGUUAUUUAUGAAUGUGCUGGAACUCUUGUUUCUUUGUCUUCUGCUCCUACGGCUAUCAGGGCUGCUGCCAAUACCUACUGCCAGCUUCUUCUGUCUCAGAGUGACAACAACGUCAAACUUAUUGUGCUUGAUCGUCUGAAUGAACUCAAAUCAUCUCACAGGGACAUUAUGUUUGAUUUGAUAAUGGAUGUUCUUAGGGCACUUUCAAGCCCGAACCUUGACAUUCGGAGGAAAACACUUGAUAUAGUUCUUGAUUUGAUCACGCCACGAAAUGUCAAUGAGGUUGUUCUCACUCUUAAGAAAGAAGUUGUGAAAACUCAAAGUGGGGAGCUGGAGAAGAAUGGGGAGUACCGUCAAAUGCUCAUUCAAGCCAUUCAUUCCUGUGCUAUAAAAUUCCCAGAAGUUGCAAGCACUGUGGUCCACCUAUUGAUGGAUUUCUUGGGUGACAGCAACGUUGCUUCUGCAAUGGACGUGGUUGUUUUCGUGCGAGAAAUUAUUGAAACAAACCCAAAAUUAAGGGUUUCCAUAGUCACCAGGCUGCUUGACACGUUCUACCAGAUUCGAGCUGCACGGGUUUGUUCUUGUGCUCUUUGGAUUAUUGGAGAAUACUGCUUGUCCCUUUCCGAAGUCGAGAGCGGCAUUGCAACCAUUAAGCAGUGUCUUGGGGACUUACCCUUUUACUCUAUUUCUGAAGAAGGGGAUGCUGCUGAUCCAGCAAAGAAAUCUCAGCAGGUAACUUCCAUCACCGUUUCAUCCAGACGACCAGCUAUCCUUGCUGAUGGGACGUAUGCCACUCAAAGUGCUGCUUCUGAAACUGCUUUCUCCCCUCCAACUGUUGUCCAAGGAUCAUUAACUACUGGAAAUCUGAGAUCUCUCCUCCUCACCGGUGAUUUUUUCCUUGGGGCUGUGAUUGCCUGCACACUGACAAAGCUCGUGCUGAGACUGGAAGAGGUUCAGCCUUCCAGGGUUGAAGUCAAUAAAGCAUCUACAAAUGUACUGUUGAUCAUGGUUUCAAUGCUACAGCUAGGGCAGUCUUCGGUUCUUCCUCAUCCAAUUGAUAAUGAUUCUUAUGAUAGGAUAGUUCUUUGCAUAAGACUGCUGUGUAACACGGGGGAUGAGGUCAGGAAGAUAUGGUUGAAGUCUUGCCGUGAGAGUUUUGUUAAGAUGCUUUCUGAUAAACAGCUACGCGAAACAGAGGAAAUUAAAGCAAAAGCUCAGAUUUCCCAUUCACAGCCAGAUGAUCUGAUUGACUUCUACCACUUGAAGAGUAGAAGGGUAAGCAUUUUGCAUUUGAUUCUAAUUGUGCUUUUGAAGAAUGCAAUUAGUUCAAUUGCUUUGCUAUCUUCAUCAGAUUUUGUCUCAAUUUUGAUCACUUUAUAGUUGUAUACAGGGUUAGGUGAUCUUGUUAUACCUUUAGUAGAUUCUUGAUGAGAAAGUAUUGCCUAUUUUCACCCUUUUCUUUGUUAAGCCAAGUUUGCCCUAAUGUCAAAUAUUUGUGGCUUAAGACUGCCCUUGGGAUUAGAGUGUGAUGAUGUUAUGGAUGGGAUUGCUGGUUUAGUUGAUUGGUCAAACUAAGCAACAUUUUGAUUUUGGAUCUAUCCUGUCUAAAUUUCAGGGUAAUGUAUUGUUAUUGUGCAGAAGUUAUAUUUUCAAUUCCUUAAACAUCAUCAUGGGAAUUGAACUUAAUACUUGCUGGAACUAUGGUGCAUCUUUUUUUAACAAUUUGAGGGAUCUUUCUUAAGUAAGAAGUCACCUGUUUAUGUGUAGCUUUCUUGGGUUCUGAAGGGCAACUUUCAUCGUUUUGGUGGGUAGUUUUAAUUACUUUCAGGGAAUGCAUUUUGGAAGAUUACUUGGUGUUUGCUCCCUCAUUGGUUUCUCUUUUCCAACAUAAGUUUUGAAGGUACAUUAGAGCUCCCUUAGUAGGGAUUGAAGUGUAUUUUGACACUGUUAGCCAUAUUUCAGGGCAUGAGCCAGCUGGAGUUGGAAGAUGAGGUCCAAGAUGAUCUAAAACGUGCCACAGGGGAAUUCAUUAAGGAUGGAGAUGAUGCAAACAGGCUUAACCGUAUUCUUCAGCUUACGGGUUUUAGUGAUCCUGUGUAUGCUGAAGCAUAUGUGACAGUUCACCACUAUGAUAUCGUCCUGGAUGUUACAGUCAUUAAUAGAACUAAGGAGACUCUGCAGAAUUUGUGUUUGGAGUUGGCAACAAUGGGAGAUCUUAAACUAGUUGAGCGGCCACAGAACUACACUCUGGCUCCUGAAUCAAGCAAGCAGAUCAAAGCAAAUAUUAAGGUGUCCUCCACUGAGACGGGUGUCAUAUUUGGGAACAUAGUCUAUGAGACUUCAAAUGUGCUUGAACGAACUGUUGUUGUCCUCAAUGACAUACACAUUGACAUCAUGGACUACAUCUCUCCUGCAGUGUGCAGUGAUGCUGCUUUCAGAACUAUGUGGGCAGAAUUUGAAUGGGAGAACAAGGUAUCUUCAUAUUCACAAGGAUUUUUUUUUUUUACACUUAUUCCUAGCUUUGUUGUUGAAUUAUAUUUGUUAUAUCCCUAGUUUUUCGUGCUGUUGCAUUACCUAAAAAUGUCUCAAGGUGAAUUAGUUAAGAAUGUUAGAAAGGGUGACGAAGUGACAAUAAUUGAAGAUUGCUUGAGUUGUCUGCUAUAUGGAACUGGAGUAUUGUAAUUUAUACAUGCUAAGGCAUUUUGUUGUUUUGGGUAUUGCAAGGUGGUGGUUUUCUCCAAAAUCAUUUUGCUUUUCAACCUAGAGCAAGGAUGAGUAACAAAGUUAGGAAUUCUACUAGCAAUUUGUCAACCACUUUUACAUUUUCAACUAGCAAUUGGUCAACCACUUUGACAAUUUCAAAUCACAAAGAAGAAUAUUCAUAAAUAUCCCAACAACACACUCUCUAUUCUCUAUUUGUUGAAUACAUGCCACAAACUGGAUGACUCUCAACAGAAGUUUACCGGUAAACCCUGUGUAUUUUUUCUCAAGUGUUUACACGAUUAUCUCUGACAAAGUGUUGUCUGUGGCAGGUUGCUGUAAAUACUGUUAUUGAAGAUGAGAAGGAAUUCCUUGACCAUAUUAUUAAGUCAACCAACAUGAAAUGCCUGACUGCACAGUGAGUUUCAGUCACUCCAAUACAUGAUUUUUUUGAUAAAGCUAUUGUGGGUUGAGAUUUGGCAUGUGUGAGGACAAUGGUCAAUCCCUGUGAUGUGCCCACUGUCCCUGCAUUUUGUAGUUGGUUCUUUUGUCAUUCUUCAUGAAGAUGAUGUACUUUGCUUGUCUAAUCAUCAUGCACAGAAUAAAUCACCAGAGCCUUCGUCUUGCUUGUAUCUUACUGUGUGAUGACAUAGUUCAAUUUUGUUGUAAUUUGUAAAACAGCUUUUGGAAUUGGUUGAUCUACAUCAAUCCUAUGAUGUCACUGCCUUAUUAUGAAUUUUGGAUGCUUCUUUCAGGUCAGCUUUGGAAGGUGAGUGUGGAUUCCUUGCCGCUAACCUUUAUGCAAAGAGUGUGUUUGGAGAGGACGCUUUGGUGAAUGUCAGCAUUGAGAAACAGGCAGAUGGUAAGUUGAGUGGUUAUAUUAGAAUAAGAAGCAAGACUCAAGGAAUUGCUCUCAGCCUGGGGGACAAAAUCACUCUUAAGCAGAAGGGAGGUAGCUGAAUUCUGGAUGCACUGUUAGUCUUAGUGCCGUAAUAGUGGUAUGUAACUAUCUGUGGCCAGCCCCCCCCCCCCCCCUCCUCCUCCUCCAGCACAAAAAAAAAAAAAAAAAUUCCCUUCUUUCCCUCUUUUCCCUCUCCCCUUCCAGUCCCCCUUUUAGUAUUUCUUUAUGAAUGUUAGUGCAUCUUCUUUUUUUCAGUUUUUUGUAGUGUGUUCCUUGGAGAAUAUGAAGGGGAAAGAGUAGAACUGUUCUGUGUCAUUUCAUGUUGGCAAGGAGUGCCUUGAAACCAUAAUGAAAAAGUCAUGGGAUUAUCUUUUAAUUUGUGGCUGUACAAUCUUCAGGUUCACAAGUUUGGAUGAAAUCAUUGGGGCUCUUUCAACACAUUUCCUGGCUGCUGCAAAGAGUUAACGCAGAAUAUCAGUGUCAGUGUUCUUGCAUUGAGUCCUUCAAAUGCUCGACACUGUAUUAGAUUGCAUCUAUUUUUGUAGAGAAUAUAUUGGAGAGAAGAAAGAAUGGCGGACUUUGCUACCUUGACUCAUUUAGAGAAUUCAUUGUCAAUUUUCUUUUUAUGCUUUGAGAUCGGAUUGGAUUCAGGAAUUCUUAUAUUUUUCCCCUUCUUUUUUUACUUAAAUUGUAUUUUUUGUCUUUUGGGGGGGAAUGAAUUUGUUACUUUUGUUAUGAAUGCCAUGGUACGAUACAUCUCUAUUUCCAUACGGAGCAAAACUUUGUCAGAAACAAGAAGUAAAAUGUUUCUUAUUGCUUAAAAAAGUGGCCUGUUUGUGUGGUCGAAUUAGGCCUGCAAUCAAAGGUCUAAUUGUCAGACUUUAGUCUUGCGCCUUCUGUUUUGGUUUUCAGCUUGUGUUAAAAUUACCACAGCACGCUGAUGAACGUCAAUCAAUGAUCAACAACAAGGUACAAUCAAGUUUUUCUAUAAUUAUAAGCCCACAGUAUCCUGUAGUAUUCAUGGCAAAUGUAGAUCGAGCAACACGGCACGCCAGAAGAGCAUUUUACUGAUCUAUCCUUUAUAAAGCAAUUAAACUCCUUAGAUGUUUCUGUGCACAUACUAAAUUAACAGCGUCUACGUGACCAAAAAUGAAAUACGCUUUCCCUGUUAAAUCUGACAUGAAUGCUGCUUAUUGUCGGCUGGGGACCUAUGGCUUUGUUUACAACACUUUUAGCCGUACGAUGUCCCUUCUAAUUAGUAGGAAAAGCACGAGGAGAGUGUUACUGUUUUGGUUCUCUUUAUGCAGACAGGAAAAGCUUCAAAAAUGAAAAAAUAACCCCCAUCACAUACAACAUUCCAUUUGCUGAUCUCAUUGCCUUCCCUUCCCUUCCCAUACAAAAGAAUUGAAAAUGGCGGACAACGUAAGAUCAACCGCAGAAGAUAAAUAUGCAGUGGUCACAGAACAAAAUUAUGCCUCGCAUUACAACCAUUCAGUUAUCCACAUUAACUUACAGACGGUGUUCCCUGUCUCUUAAGUCCAUGAAUUAUGACCUGCCAAACCAGAUCAUGUUAUGCUAACAAUUUAUAACAACUACUUGCGGUACAGUACAGCGGCGUAUCAAGUACUUCUUUGAUGACAUUAAUAAAAUGUAGCUUUUGUAAGGUGCAUCA